CCCAGAGUGGGGAAAUUCCUAAUCUCAACACUCAGACUUGCCCUCUUUGCCAAGACUCAUCUUGCCCACGUGGCUUGUGUCAGGGCUGUGACUGGGAGAGCAAAGCCUGGCAGCUAUUUUUCUAAGACCUUAGCAAUCCAUUGCUGGUGUCCAAGGAUCUGCUGCAGAGCUGCUGCUUCAGGGAUUUGUUUGAUUGCAGCUGGCUGUGCUGUGCCCCACAUCAGCCUCCAGAGAGCCCGUGUCACGGGACAGGAGACCUUUCAGCUGGAGAAGUCAGCCACCGUUGAAGCUUGACCCAGAUUCUGAGGCUUUCACCUGAAGAGUUUCCUCACUGCUUUUCAGCCAUGGCUGUGUGAAUUUGUCUCCAGACCAGUCUGGGAAUGUAAGAGCUGGGGAAUCAUCUGACUCUUGCUGGAAGCAAGAGCACCCACUGGAAGCUGUUCUACCAGCCUUGUGAAAGCACAAGUCAAAUUCAUUUCUGAAGAACAGGGUACUCCAAAAGUGGAAAAGCACCAUAUCCUGUCCCAUCUGCUGAGGGUGACCUUCUGAGUCCAGACAUGGAAUCUCCCAUAAAAGAAGCAAUAAGACCUUGGUCUCCUUCCUGUGCCACCUCUUGUCUGAGCUGAGGCAUCCUCCCACAUGGAGAAAGGAGCUGCAAAAAUAGCUGGUCAAUCUAUUCUUCUUCAUGCCUUGUCAGUCCUUGCUAAGAGAGGGACAUUCCCCCCCAUAAGUCACAACUUGGACAAACCACAGGAUCAUCUUCUCAUGGUGCCUUUUAAAAAGGAAGGCUUUACCUGCCUUUGCUUCAGCCUUUCAGUGAUCCUUUGAGAUCCCACAUGUAUUUGUGACCCUUUCUGAGCCCCAAGCUGGAACUUCUAAAGCACUACCAGCAGCAACCCCAAGCAAAAUCAUAGAUGACUGAGAGCAGAAGGAAGCACCGUGUGCUCACAGGGUGGAGAACUGCAUGUGCAGGUCCUUUGGAUUCCUCGUGCAGAUUAAGGAGUGUCCCUGUUGAGCUGAAACACAGCAACAGAGCUUCUGGGGUAAAUCAGAUCCCAUCUCCCUGUGGAGCACCAGCAAUGGAAGAAUAGCACUGGGCUGGCAUUGCAUGUUUGCUUUGCAGCCAGGAGCCUGGGGAAAGAAAGGAUCCAGCUUGUCCACCUUUUAAAGAGUGCAAGGAGGGAAGGGAAGACCCACCAGAAGCUCACAGAAAACUGCCACCCAUCUACAGCUUUUCUUUCUGAGGAUAAACUCCUCUGAUCUCUGCUGUGCAGAAAGCAGCAUGUGGGGGAUUCUGGUGCCAGCAGCAUUUUUUGCUGGAAACCAGGAUGUUUCUGUAAUGAGGAAAGAGACAUUCUUGAGUAUGAAGUUAUCAAACAACUUGACAAAUUCAGAUGCACUAAAUCACCCAGUGUAAACAUCUGUCUGGCCUGCUUUCGUGUGCCUACAGCGAGGGCGGCUUAUCCGCCUCUUGGUGAGAUGCAAUAUCUGUCCUCUGCUGCUAUUUUUAGCUUGUAUUUAUUUGGAGGAGACUGGUACAAUAAUCUCAUCAGGCCUGACUUGCCUUUAAUUCCCCUUAAGAUUGUUUUGGGAAGAUGGGCAGUUAAAGCACUGCUGUGGUUGAAGCCCUUGUGCAUGCUGUGAUGUGAAAGCCCCAUGUGUGGUUCCUUGUGAACACUGCAGCUGUUGUUCCCUGGAUCAUUGGCACUUGGCUGUAUUAGUGACUUGCUUUCUGAUGUUGGGGCAAAUGGCUUCACUUCUCAAUUUCCUGUUUACUUUUUUUUUUCCUACUGGGCAAAGUUCUUCUGUGGCAAAAUUGGCUGUUACUGAGUUUUCCUGGCUCUCAUCUUGGAGUGUAGCUGGGACAGGUGUGGCUGGGGGCUGUUAAAAAGCAGAUAUAUUCAAGCAUAAUCCCACUGACCUCACUCAGACUGCUCACAUGUUUUAAAUUAAGUGCAUCCUUAAAUAUUUUCAGAAAUUGGAGCUGGCUUAGUUUAGGCUUGAAUACAUGAAGAAAUGCAUAUGCUUUUGGGACCAGAAGGGAACCUGAAUGUUUUAAACCCAUUAAAUGUAAAAGUACAGUAUUGUGUGUUGGCUUAGGAGCAGGGAAACCAAUUUUGAAGUUGGUAUUAUAUAUUGCUGAGAGGAGGGGAUGCAUGGUAGCACAGGAGGGGAGCUGAGCUCUUUGGAAAAAAGCAACCACCUCCCUUCACGCAAGCAAACCUGGGCACAAAGAAGGGCUUGGUGCAAACUCUCUGGUGACUGCUGAUAGGACCUGAGGGAAUGGCCUGAAGCAGGGUCAGAGGAGGUUUACACUGGAUAUCAGGAGAAGGUUCUUCCCCCAGACAGUGUUUGGGCACUGGAACAGGCUCCCCACAGCACCAAGCCUGACAGAGCAAGGAAUGUUUGGAGAAUGCCCUCAGGGACAUGGUGGGAUUCUUGGCCAGUCCUGUGUUGGGCCAGGAGUUGGAAUCAAGGAUCCCUGUGGGUCCUUUCCAGCUCAGGAUAUUCUAUGAUCUAAAUGUGUUUGCUUGGCAUUUCCCAUCUCUGUGCCACGAUGCACAACUUAGGCAGGGAGUCCUAACUGUGGGAGCUGCACCUGUAUGGCUUCCCUGCUCCCCCAUAGGACAGCAUCAUGGAGAUAGGUUUUCCUUCAGUAUAAACUACAAAUCUUAAGACAGCUUCUCAGAAAGUUGCACCAAGAUUUUUACCUACAUAUUUUCCCAUUGAAGACUCUGUUUCAUGAAAAGGUACUUUAUUUGGGGGAAAACCUUUAGCUGUUUCUUUUGUUUGGCAUCAAAGCCAGCUUAGAGGAGACUUUUUUUUUCUUUAAUAGCAGCCAGCUGCAUUAGCAGUCUUGAACCAUGUUCUUCCUUCUGCUUUGAAUAUAAAGCCUAUAGCAAGGGAACAUUGGUUUUUCAUCUUGGCAAUAAGAAGUGUCUUCGGCUGCCAGUAGUGGAACUUGCCCAUUUACUUGUAGGAGAAAGUUAAAAUAAGCCUAAUGAAGAAGAAUAGCAAAUCCAGCAUUUCAGGUCUGUGUUCCCUAGUUCCUAUGAAUAGGCAUAUACUGCUUGCAGCAAUUAUGGUGAUGGACUGGAAAUCCACUGGGUGUUGCUUGUGCAGGUAAAAAUCCUGCUGGCUGUGAGCCACUUCUAUCAGUUUAUCUGCUGCAGUGAAAUGGCUUAAAAUUCACUUCUGGAUCCUGAGGCAAUGCUUGUGUCCCUGCUUUGGCUUUUGCAUGUAACAGCAGAGCAUGCUUUGGCUUUUGUUUUUUUCUUUAAAAAAAGAAAAGUGAAGAAGAGAAGAAAGUAUUUUGUUUGCUCCAGGAAGGGUCUCCUACAAACCUGAAUGGAGUAUAAUAAAUACCACUUGGGUCUCCAGCCAUAAAAGAGAGCUUGUCCCGUUGAUGGAUAUAAUGCCCUGUUCAGGGGCUAAUUCUGCACGAGCCCUUCAGUGUCCACAGCCAACAUCCCAGAGGCCAGGCAGCCUCUUUCUGAGCCAGCCACCACUGGGAAAUGGGUGGCUCCCCUGAGAUUUGCUCUCUUGCAUGAGCUCCUCAUGGCCUCCAGUCACACAUCACAGCGCUUUUGGGUUUUGGCUGGUUCUUAAAGGAUGUCCCGGGCAGGCUGAGCAGACACAGAGUCUGUGGUUUUCUCUCUUCCUGAGUUCAAGCCCCGUAAAGUGGGAGUCCGGGAAAGAAAUCAGCCUUUGUAAACUUUUAGUUCACAACUGUUGCUGGGUCUUGUAUCUGUCUGCUCGUCCCAGUGCCUGUCAUCACACAGCUGCCACAACCCUGUAUUUAUCUUGCUCCUUUUCUUUCUUCCUCAGUCCCUGGGCUUUCCCCCUGCCCCAUAGUCUGCCUUACUGCUGAUUUCUGCUCAUUUUCUUCUCUCCCCUUUGGUCUCUCCUUUACUCUGCACUUCUUUUUUCUCACCUGUACAUUUGUUCACCACCUGUGCUCGCCCAGGCUUGUGGCAAGAGCAGAGCAGCCUUCCCUUGGCUCCCUUGGAACCUCCCAGGGGCAUUCCCAGCGUCUGCAGGAGGGAAGUGAGCCAUGAGACAGAAAUGAACCUCUGUGAUCAGAGCACAGUGAAAAAACUCAAAGACCUGUUCAGAAAACAAAAUUCAAGCUUGUCUUUCUUUUGAGUUUUAAUUUCCCAAGCAGUGCUGGAUAUCCUGGGAUUUCCCACAGAGCUGGCCUGGUUGCAUCACCACCCAUUUGGGGAGUGGGGAUGGAUGCUGGGCACAGUGACAUCAGGGAGCAAAGCUGCAGUGCCCAGGUGCUGCUGUGGCUUCAGGGGGAAUUUUGGCAUUCAUUCCUGCCUUCGUGGGGUCCAUAGAGCUGGAGCUGAUGAUCUGCUGAGCUGCCCUUUUUUUUCCAGAGAGCUACUCUGUUGGGCUGUGACCCACCUGCGGUGCCCUGCCCAGCAAACCCAGGAGGGAUUUGGAGCAUCUGUGUCUGCAUGGUUAGGACUUGCUCAGAAGAAUUCCAUGUGUGUGCAUGAAGGAAUGAACAUAAACCCAUCUUUGCUGCCAUUUUCCUGAUUCCUCACCUCCCUACUUAGUGUUUCCAAAGAUAUCUUUGCAUCUGCUCACAGACCAUCUCAGGAGUGAUUUUUGGAGAUGAACAGGCUUUGCUGCUUCUACAUCAACUUUAGUUUUCCCUGUGGCAUCCUGGAUUUGUUUAAACCUGAAGUUCCAGAAGGGCAAAACUGUGGCAGAAGGCUGUUGAAACAUGUGCAAACUGGCAAGGAAAACAUACUCCAUCUUACUGAGAAGACCAAAGGUUUCCUAUGUCUUAGAAUUAUCCCUCACUUUUGUAAGGGUUUGAGUGCAAACUCAGAACCCUAACUUUGGAAAUUCAUGUCUCUUAGUUAUUUUAUUUAUAAAGAGCAGAAGCUCUUCUGUGUCCUGCUAAAUAAUUUUUGACCUUUGAAAAUCAGAAGUUGAGGUGUGAUCCAGCUCUGUAGUUACAGUACUGAACUUGGGAUUAAACUUGGAUUUUUCAUGGCUAUUCAGGUAUCAAAACUUUUGCUCUGUGCAUGUGCAGUUUGUGGGAAGAGUUGCAAAACAAGGCAAUACAAAAUCUGGUGGGUUAUUUGGUCAGAAAGCAACCCUACAAUUCUCAUUUCUGAGUCAUGGCUUCUGUAAACUUAUGAAAAAUUAGUUCUGAAUGUAAACUGAAAUAUUUAUCAAAGAAGUGGGAAUUUUUGGAAUCUGGAACCUUGUGUCAAAAGGCAAACACUGUACCAGUUUUGGCCAGUGGCUGCUCAAGGAUCAGAAAACAUGGAGGAGAGCAGCAUGUGAGCCUGCAGAGCUGCUACUGUCUCUGGCAGGCAAUGAAGAUUUCUCUUUCAGGGGAAAAGUUUUGAUAGCCAACAGCUUCUAAGGUUUUCAUAGUAACCAUGCCAAACCUUAAUUGGUUGUUUUAAUCAAAUGCCUCUUGGUUUUUGGCUUCGUGAAGUUUCUUGUUAAGUAUAGGAAUUUCCCAGUGAUCUGACUUGAUCUUUAGAGAUGACAGUAUAUAUUUUUAUGCAUGUAUGUGUGUAUAUAUAUAUGUAUGUAUAUAUAAACACACGAAUACAUAGGCUGCUUAAUGUUGUCUUUUUCUGUCUCAGAAGUCUUGCGUUGAGAUGCUUGGUGUACAGAGGCAUUAAAAACACCCAUGGACAUCCCUUGUUGGUUUUGGAGGGUUUUUUUAGCAACAUAGCUAAUUCACAUUACAUUGAGCCUCCUCCAAAAGGACUAAUGCAAAAUGCCAGUGGAAGAAACCACUAAUGCUCAUCAGCUCUUGCAGGGACUUGAUGAGGUAAAGAACCUUCUUUUUCACAUAUCAUCUUUGCCUUAGCUGUGUGUUUCCUGUUAAAGACAUGUGGUAUAUUCUCAACAUAUGGAUGUUAAAAACCAAGAAAUUACCCCCAAUGCUGCCCUGUGAACAUCGUUAUGACUUUUCACAAGGGCAUGUAGUGACAGGACAAGGGGAAUGGCUUUCAGAAACCUCGUCUAGUGGAAGGUUCCCUGCCCGUACCAGAGGUUAGAACAAGAUGAUCUUGAAGGUCCCCUCCAACUCAAACCAUUUGGUGAUUAUGGAUCUUGUGAUUUUUUUUUUCAGUGGUUGGUUUCUGAAGGGGCAGAAGGUGUGUGUCGCACCCUUCUUUUUUGCUCAACUCCUCUCUCUGAAAGCCAGCCUGUUUCUAACCAGUAAAAUGAGGGAGGCCAGAACUGGAAUAAGAAUGUGUGAUAGUAACAAGGCAAAAACUGUAACUGUGCUUGCAUAUGAAGAACCAUGGCCAAAAAUCUCAAAAUAUUGCCCACAGCAUUACCCUGACUGCUUUGCUGGGCACACAGUGUGUCAGCUGAAUUCAAGAGCAGGCAAAGAUGUAUUGUGUGGUGAUGUGACAGCUGUAAUGGUUGUAGAUGGAGAAAACCCUUGAGAAAGCUGGUACAGUGCGUAUGUGUUUUCCUCAAUGUGCCUUUCUCAUAUGAAUGGGUGUACAAAAAGUCAGUUUGAUCUCCAGGGUCAGCUUAAAGGUCUUCUGAUGACCCAGUCUGUGUUGAGCUGCAGGAGGAAUUGGUUCAGAAUAUGUCUGGAGGGGAGGCAAAAGUAAUCCCAAAAGAUUUUUAGUGAUGGUGGCUUGUAGUUUUAUACCUAGUUUGCCUUCUGGAGGAAAAAUCUGGGGGUUUCCAUAAAACCCCCAUUUUCACAGCAAAUAUUUAAUUUUUACUGAAAAUUGGGCCAUGAACUUUUGAGGCUGUGGAAAACACUAAUCUCUGCAUCUUUCCGAGUAAUCAUGAGUGCCUCUCUGAAGCUGUCUCACAAAUUGUGCAUUUUUUUGUCCAUAAUCUGGACAUUUCCCUUCAUCCUUUCUGGAAGUCAGCCUCCUAUGAUGCACUGCACUUUCUGCUAGAGGGCUUAGGUCCAUACAACCCUGCACUUCAUUGAUAAUUGCCAUGAUUUUCAAGCUAGAUGAGUUCUUGAUUAAAUUAAAAGGGAUGCCUGUACUCGACUGGAUGUUAGCUAUUUGCUUCCAAGGGUAAUUAGUCAUGGGUUUAAAUAGAAGGAAAUAAUUGAUGUACACAUAGAGUGGAAGCACUUUUCUGCCAUUAUGGUCUGAAAACAUAUUUAUUUGUUCAUUCUGUCUGAAUGUGAAGUAGCUCUUCUGUUAGCAUGGUAAAAUGAGUAGGCUUUUUUACGUAAGAUUGUUCUGGGUCUUAUUAGAAGUUAUUUUCUAAUUUCUGGAAGAGUGGGUAAGAGCAAAUUACUUGAAUUGCUCAUGCUCAGAAAAGGAAAAUAAAGGUAGUUUCCUGAAGAGUUAAAAUGUAUUGCUGACAUAGUGGUUUUGGCAUUGGCAUUGUGUGGCAAGUGUAUCCUGAGGUACACAAGUACAUAUUUGCUUUUACAAAAACCUGAAGUUCCGAAAGGUUGUUGUUCAGGAUUUCCAUCUGGGAGGUGGAGGACAUGCUGGUAUCAUCAGCCAAAAGCACAAGAAGGAUCUUCUUCCUGUCUUCCCAUGUCCUUUUUUUCCACUGACCUUGUAGUUCAGGUGCCCUGUCUUUCUUGUCUUUUUCCAAUUGACCCAGCUUGCUCAGCUGUGUGAUGACAUCCUCAGUCUCAUCCCUUUUAUGUUUCCCUGGGAUCACCCUCCAUCCCCUUGCAGCACCCAUGAGGUGCAGCCUCUCCUGACUCAGGCUGUUUCCAUCUGUCCUCCAAGGAAGGAGGAUCUUGAUUAUCUCUCCAGUUCUGUGUCCACCUUUUCACCUAGCUUUCCUAGGUGAGUUUUUGCAGGAAAGACCUCACACACAGGAUACAGACCACUGGUUGUUGGAGGAUGUGGUGUCAUAGGGAAAAAAGGAGCUGAAAAACUGGACUAAGGUCUGAACUAAAGGUCCUUCAAGGAAAGAUGGGACCCAAUCCAAGGCUCCCACAUUCUGUGCGAGAGCCUGAGCCACCAGCCACUAAAGAAUAGAAAAACCUUUUGUUUGCUGCUUUGGCUCAUCUGAUUUUGACUGAAAUCCACAGGUUUCUGGCUGACUUACACUGUAUUUCUGUAUUAGUUUUACGAGGAAGCUGUUGGGUGAAAAAUAUUAUCUAUGUGUCGAUAGAAGUCAUAGCAUCGCUUCCUACUGUGCUCUAAAUCUGACAGGAGUUCCAUCUUGCUACUGUAUGUAGGAAUUUCCCCUGCUGCCUGUGCAAAUGCCUGGCUGCCACUUCUCUCAUGUCUCUUCCUGGGCUAGGGAAGUGCCUUCUUAGAAACCUGCACUGUCAGCUAAGCUGACAAAGGUUUUAUUUAACAUGAGGCAGAACUAAUACCCUUUAAAGAAAGCUGCCAUGCCGUUAAUUGUCACUCUGGUUUGUGUCAGAUGCUUGCAAGAAGCGUGCUUGGUUCCUCCACAAACACAACAGCAUCUUUCACUCUUAGUGAAUAAUGUGUUCCAGAUGUUCCACCCUGUGAGAAUUUCUUGCGCCCACUGCAAUGCCAAGAGAAAAAUAAAGCAGUUCAACUUAUUUAACCCAGAUCUCAGACUGUCUGUCUGCAUCAUCUAACUCCAUCAAGCUGAUGGAGCACAUGGAAUGGAUGGAAAACAUGUGGUUUCUGUAGACUCUCUGCGUUUCAUGUUGGUUAACAAAUGUAGCAUUCGUUUACCCAAGGCCAUAACAGGCCUGAGCCCAAGCCCAGUGUAUUCCUGGCAGGUUCUUUGUAUCUUCCCCAAGCCAUCAGUCCUCAGGCCUGGAGCCCUGCCAGUCCUCCUGUUUUUAUUCAUGUUAUCAGCUUGAGGACUCUCUCAUUUACCUUCUUCAUAGGCCAGACAGAAAUAGUGCCUAAGCUGUCCUUAAAAAUUUAAAUGGACUGCAAUCCCCCUCUGCCUAAAUAUUUUGUGAAUGGCAUUGGGACCUCUUGUGUUCAUGGCUGUAGCUCAAAUACUCAUUGUAGCAUUUCCAGGCAAACAAAAACUUGGGGCUUAUAGCAGGGUUUCAGAGAGCUCCACUGAGGAUGGGCUCUGAGCUGCCCUUCCCAGGCUGCCUUGUUAAAUUAAAUGCCAGGUGGGAACCUUCCACCACUGAGUGGUGAUGGGAACUACUCAAGGAGGGAAGGGCAGGAAAACCACUUGUGACUCUUGAUGCACUACAAAGCCCUGGAUGUUCCAGCUGAGCAUGUUAGAAGGGUGAGAUGUCCAUAUUUAGCCCAGGAUCCCUCCAUAAGAGGCAUACCUUUGUGGUUUAGGUGUUGGGACAUGACUUACAGACAUAGUGACACACUGCCCAGGUAAUCCCCCUCCUGUGGUACGGGAAUCACAUGUACUUGGUUUUUCCCCCCCACACAAAAUGGAUGUGAGAAUUCCUGACCAUGCAGAUUCUUGAGAGGAUCUUCCUACAAGGGUUAAGGUUUUGUGUUGCUGUGAGAAAGAA